UUCUCUUUCCUCUCGAGAGCUUCUCUCUCUUCUCUGGAAAACCCUCUGUUUAGGGCUUCAUCCGCUACUGCUAUUUGUCUGGCCAUUCUCCUUUGUUACAUGAUGUCGACCGUAGCAGUGUUCAAUGAGUUUUUGGUAUUGGGUCGUCACUAGAAAAGAGAAAACAACAAGUUUGAGUCUACCAGAAAAGAGAAAAAAAAAGGAAGAGAAGCGAUGGGUACCCCAGCUGCACAAGCAGUAGCAAAGGUUUUCUCCAGCCAUUCUUAGAGGGUUCGAUGGACCUCGGUUUUUUGAUGCUCAAGGUCACUGAAAAAAAAAAAAAGAUAGUAGUAGGUGCUCCAGCUGUGAUAGAGGAGGAAGACAACGAAUGCUUCUCCACCUGCUCAGGCGGCAACGACCCUUAAGCUCUCUACUUAGGUUCGGUCACUGUGCGAAGGAGGUCGAGAGGAAAAAUUAAAAUUCACAGAAUGCUCUGUAGUGUCCGCGCUUUCGUGCACCUACCGGAACAAAGCAUCAGAGAACUGUCCAACAACAAACAACUUCAGAGGAAGUGAAGCAGCAGUGGAGCGGUGGCCUAAAGCAACUCGUCGUCUGCACAACAAGUUCACCACCGAAUGCUCCGGGAUGAGUACACGAGCGUUAGUAGGUAGAGGCAGAGACAGAGGAAGGAGAAGAAGAAGUAAAACAAAACAGAAGCAAAUGAUGAUUCUCGGGUUUCCUUCUACGAGGCUCUUCUAGGGCAAUGAACCGAGAGAUCAAAGCCUAAUUCAGAGAGUUGUUGGUAGACCAGCCUCAUAGGUUUCCCCACCAGCAGGCGGUUAGGGUAUGACAGAGAGAAAACAGUUACGAUAUGUUCAGAUAGGGCUCAAUGGCCACUAUCAAACAAGAGGGCGACUGACUCUGCCUCUGAGAGCAAGAGGGCCAUGGCCUCAACAUAGUUAAGCGUGGGAUGUGAGGUGUUGAUCCAGAGGUACUCUACAGCGAUGGUGCUGUUAUUAGUGGGGAAAAUACCACCAGAGGCGAGGAGAAUGGGGAAGAUGAAGAGAGUGAAGGGGAAGGAAGGUUGUGGUUAGCGAUGUCAACGGAUUCGAUUUGGAUUGGAUAUACCUUUUAUCAUAUUCAAUUUUUCAAAUAUUGAUAUAUUCUGAUUCGGAUUUGGACUUGGAUUCGAAUUCGGAUGAAAAAAGCUUAUAACAUAUUUGAAUCCAACUUUAAAAUGUACAUUUAAAUUUUUAAGUUAUAUUUGAAUCUGAUCCGAAUCUGACUGUUAAG